GACGAACGCUGGCGGCGUGCUUAACACAUGCAAGUCGAACGGAAAGGCCCUGCUUUUGUGGGGUGCUCGAGUGGCGAACGGGUGAGUAACACGUGAGUAACCUGCCCUUGACUUUGGGAUAACUUCAGGAAACUGGGGCUAAUACCGGAUAGGAGCUCCUGCUGCAUGGUGGGGGUUGGAAAGUUUCGGCGGUUGGGGAUGGACUCGCGGCUUAUCAGCUUGUUGGUGGGGUAGUGGCUUACCAAGGCUUUGACGGGUAGCCGGCCUGAGAGGGUGACCGGCCACAUUGGGACUGAGAUACGGCCCAGACUCCUACGGGAGGCAGCAGUGGGGAAUAUUGCACAAUGGGCGGAAGCCUGAUGCAGCAACGCCGCGUGCGGGAUGACGGCCUUCGGGUUGUAAACCGCUUUCGCCUGUGACGAAGCGUGAGUGACGGUAAUGGGUAAAGGAGCACCGGCUAACUAC
rnacentral:rRNA from 1 species